AUUGAACGCUGGCGGCAGGCCUAACACAUGCAAGUCGAACGAGUGGCGGACGGGUGAGUAAUGUCUGGGAAACUGCCCGAUGGAGGGGGAUAACUACUGGAAACGGUAGCUAAUACCGCAUACCAUCAGAUGUACCCAGAUGGGAUUAGCUAGUAGGUGGGGUAAAGGCUCACCUAGGCGACGAUCCCUAGCUGGUCUGAGAGGAUGACCAGCCACACUGGAACUGAGACACGGUCCAGACUCCUACGGGAGGCAGCAGUGGGGAAUAUUGCACAAUGGGCGCAAGCCUGAUGCAGCCAUGCCGCGUGUAUGAAGAAGGCCUUCGGGUUGUAAAGUACUUUCAGCGGGGAGGCGUUACCCGCAGAAGAAGCACCGGCUAACUCCGUGCCAGCAGCCGCGGUAAUUC
rnacentral:rRNA from 1 species